rnacentral:rRNA from 1 species
GGAAGCAGGGGAUCGCAAGACCUUGCGCUUUUGGAGCGGCCGAUGUCUGAUUAGCUAGUUGGUGGGGUAAAGGCCUACCAAGGCGACGAUCAGUAGUUGGUCUGAGAGGACGACCAGCCACACUGGGACUGAGACACGGCCCAGACUCCUACGGGAGGCAGCAGUGGGGAAUUUUGGACAAUGGGCGCAAGCCUGAUCCAGCAAUGCCGCGUGAGUGAAGAAGGCCUUCGGGUUGUAAAGCUCUUUCAGUCGAGAAGAAAAGGCUGUGGUAAAUAAUCGCAGCUCAUGACGGUAUCGACAGAAGAAGCACCGGCUAACUACGUGCCAGCAGCCGCGGUAAUACGUAGGGUGCAAGCGUUAAUCGGAAUUACUGGGCGUAAAGGGUGCGCAGGCGGUUUUGUAAGUCAGAUGUGAAAUCCCCGGGCUUAACCUGGGAAUUGCGUUUGAAACUACAAAGCUAGA